GCAUUGGUGGUUUAGUGGUAGAAUUCGCACCUCCCACGCAGAGGAACAAGGUCCGAUUCCUGGCCAAUGCA
rnacentral:tRNA from 1 species